rnacentral:rRNA from 1 species
UACAGAGGUCCCAAGCGUUGUUCGGAUUCAUUGGGCGUAAAGGGUGCGUAGGCGGAUCUUUAAGUCGGGGGUGAAAGCCUGAGGCUCAACCUCAGAAUUGCCUUCGAUACUGGAGAUCUUGAGACCGGAAGAGGUAAGUGGAACUGCGAGUGUAGAGGUGAAAUUCGUAGAUAUUCGCAAGAACACCAGUGGCGAAGGCGGCUUACUGGUCCGGUUCUGACGCUGAGGCGCGAAAGCGUGGGGAGCAAACAGG